UGCAAGUCGAACGAGACCUUCGGGUCUAGUGGCGCACGGGUGCGUAACGCGUGGGAAUCUGCCCUUUGCUACGGAAUAACUCGGGGAAACUCGUGCUAAUACCGUAUGAUGUCGCAAGACCAAAGAUUUAUCGGCAAAGGAUGAGCCCGCGUAGGAUUAGCUUGUUGGUGAGGUAAAGGCUCACCAAGGCGACGAUCCUUAGCUGGUCUGAGAGGAUGAUCAGCCACACUGGGACUGAGACACGGCCCAGACUCCUACGGGAGGCAGCAGUGGGGAAUAUUGGACAAUGGGCGAAAGCCUGAUCCAGCAAUGCCGCGUGAGUGAUGAAGGCCUUAGGGUUGUAAAGCUCUUUCGCUAGGGACGAUAAUAACGGUACCUAGACAAGAAGCCCCGGCUAACUUCGUGCCAGCAGCCGCGGUAAUACGAAGGGGGCUAGCGUUGUUCGGAAUUACUGGGCGUAAAGCGCACGUAGGCGGCUUUGUAAGUUAGAGGUGAAAGCCUGGGGCUCAACUCCAGAAUUGCCUUUAAGACUGCAUCGCUUGAACACGGGAGAGGUGAGUGGAAUUCCGAGUGUAGAGGUGAAAUUCGUAGAUAUUCGGAAGAACACCAGUGGCGAANGCGGCUCACUGGACCGUUGUUGACGCUGAGGUGCGAAAG
rnacentral:rRNA from 1 species